rnacentral:rRNA from 1 species
UAACAAACACGAUGAUGCCCUAUCAACUGUUUUAAAAAGAUGGUUCUGCUAUCACUCUUGGAUGGACCCUGCGGUGCAUUAGCUAGUUGGUAGGGUAACGGGCCUACCAAGGCGAUGAUGCAUAGCCGAGUUGAGAGACUGAUCGGCCACAUUGGGACUGAGACACGGCCCAAACUCCUACGGGAGGCAGCAGUAGGGAAUCUUCCACAAUGGACGCAAGUCUGAUGGAGCAACGCCGCGUGAGUGAAGAAGGGUUUCGGCUCGUAAAGCUCUGUUGUUGGUGAAGAAGGACGAGGGGUAGUAACAACCUUUGUUUGACGGUAAUCAAUUAGAAAGUCACGGCUAACUACGUGCCAGCAGCCGCGGUAAU